CAAUAGCGUAUAUUAAAGUUGUUGCGGUUAAAAAGCUCGUAGUUGGAUUUCUGGUUGAAGCGACCGGUCGGGCGUUGAUUCGUCUGCACUGGAGUCGGUUUUGGCCAUCCUCUAGGAAAGUGCGUCUGGUAUUAAGUUAUCGGGCGUAUGAUCCUGGUCUUUUACUGUGAAAAAAUUAGAGUGUUUAAAGCAGGCCUUCGCCUUGAAUACAUUAGCAUGGAAUAAUAAGAUAGGACUUUGGUCUAUUUUGUUGGUUUGCAGACCGAAGUAAUGAUUAAUAGGGAUAGUUGGGGGUAUUUAUAUUCCGAUGUCAGAGGUGAAAUUCUUAGAUUUUCGGAAGAUAAACUUAUGCGAAAGCAUUUACCAAGGAUGUUUUCAUUAA
rnacentral:rRNA from 1 species